GAUAUCUGAUUAGCUAGUUGGUGAGGUAAAGGCUCACCAAGGCGACGAUCAGUAGCUGGUCUGAGAGGACGACCAGCCACACUGGAACUGAGACACGGUCCAGACUCCUACGGGAGGCAGCAGUGGGGAAUUUUGGACAAUGGGCGAAAGCCUGAUCCAGCAAUGCCGCGUGAGUGAAGAAGGCCUUCGGGUUGUAAAGCUCUUUUGUCAGGGAAGAAACGGCGCCGGCUAAUAUCCGGCGCUAAUGACGGUACCUGAAGAAUAAGCACCGGCUAACUACGUGCCAGCAGCCGCGGUAAUACGUAGGGUGCAAGCGUUAAUCGGAAUUACUGGGCGUAAAGCGUGCGCAGGCGGUUUUGUAAGUCUGUCGUGAAAUCCCCGGGCUUAACCUGGGAAUUGCGAUGGAGACUGCAAGGCUAGAAUCUGGCAGAGGGGGGUAGAAUUCCACGUGUAGCAGUGAAAUGCGUAGAGAUGUGGAGGAACACCGAUGGCGAAGGCAGCCCCCUGGGUCAAGAUUGACGCUCAUGCACGAAAGCGUGGGGAGCAAACAGGAUUAGAUACCCUGGUAGUCCACGCCCUAAACGAUGUCUACUAGUUGUCGGGUCUUAAUUGACUUGGUAACGCAGCUAACGCGUGAAGUAGACCGCCUGGGGAGUACGGUCGCAAGAUUAAAACUCAAAGGAAUUGACGGGGACCCGCACAAGCGGUGGAUGAUGUGGAUUAAUUCGAUGCAACGCGAAAAACCUU
rnacentral:rRNA from 1 species